CAUUCGGUUUUACUUAGUUUUGUGUCCUUGUUGGAUGUACAUGUACCCCAGUUAAACAUGUGUGGUGCUCGCUUUGCCCAAUUUUCUGUUUAAGGAUUAGCUAUUGUAGGGCAGAUGCUAUGUAGAGAAUCAAUUAAUUUCCUCUAGAAAUGCUCGAGUGGUGAUUUGGCGAAAUUUGGAAAUACUAGUUCUGCAUCAUGGCAUGGAUACUGUUAAGGGAGAUAUCAUCUUUUUAUCCAGCCAAAGCGCAUAUGCGAAGCCUUUGAUUCGAGGUAAAAAUGGUGCAUCGCCUCUCCCUACAAGGUGUUAGUUUUAGCAUCUAGUUCUGCAUCAUGGCUGUAAACUGAACUUGGUUCAGUUAAAAACUGCAAUGUCCAAUUUGGACAGCAAGCUUAGAUCUGAAAAAUGAGUUAGCUAGGCUUAGAAUUUUGAGUUGGCCCCUUUACAUAAGUUUUAGAUAAAGUUCCAAGGUUUCUUUAGAGUAUUUAUUUGUGUCGUUUGGAUGUACGGUUUGAGAGCAGCCAUCAAUUUAGUUUGUUGUCCCGAAAUAUAUGUUCCUGAGUACAGUAUUUUGAUAUGGGAGAUUAGGCCCUGUUAGAGGUGGUAUUAAAAUAAAGUUACAACAUGAAAAUUUUAGAGGCUGUUCUGUAGAUACUUAAACACAUAUCACUUGUCAGGUUUCGUUCGUUAUAUUAAAUACUAUGAAAUUAUCAAAGUGGGCUGUACUAUGUUGGACAGAAUUUUAUGUUUGGACUUGGAUGAAUGUAACCAGACUUAUACUCUCAGAUUUUGUCAUAGUUGAUGGUGUGAGGACUUAUAAUGUGAUAAAGUAUAUACGUUGUUGCAACACCAAAAUCAGUGAAAUAUAUUUUCUUUUUUUGCUGCCGAUGACAUCUCCAUAAAGUAAGGAUUUAGAUAACAUCAUAUGUUCAGAGUUCAGUUCUUUUCUUAUCUGGAACUAACAUAUUUUACAAUGGGCAUGAUGGAUGUUGCAGGUUCAUUGAUGACAGCCAAGGGUUCAUGCUCGGAAACGACUACAUCUUGCUCCAUGUUGUCGGCUCAGCUAGAGUCCUUAAUCAUGAGGAGAUGGGACACGUCGAUUGUUAGAGUACACUUGACAGGGGUGAUCGACGCUGACUAGCGCAGCCGGUGGGUGUUGUGCUCUUCAACCACUCAGAGGCGGACUUCUCCGUGAAGCUGGUGGCCAUGUCGCGUAGAUGAUUGUCCAGGUGAUUCGACGCCGGAGGUCGCCGAGGUGGUGGACCUCGACGCCACCGUCCGGGGGAGGGAGGAUUCGGGUCCACCGGCGUCUAAGCUCCGAGCCUUGGUAGAUACAUCUAGGGAAGUUGUCUGUUUAGGUUGGUGAUGGAACACCAGGGAAGGUACCCACCUUUCGAUGAUCAUUGUGUGUGUCUGAAGUUAAAUGGAAUCUUGAGAAUGUUAUGUGACGUUGGUUUGGUUUGCAC